UACGUAGGGUGCAAGCGUUGUCCGGAAUCAUUGGGCGUAAAGAGCGUGUAGGCGGCCCGGUAAGUCCGCUGUGAAAGUCCAGGGCUCAACCCUGGGAUGCCCGGUGGAUACUGUCGGGCUCGAGUCCGGAAGAGGAGUGUGGAAUUCCGUGGUGUAGCGGUGAAAUGCGCAGAUAUCAGGAGGAACACCAAUUGCGAAGGCAGCGUCGCUGGGACGUUACUGACGCUGAGACGCGAAAGCGUGGGGAGCAACAGG
rnacentral:rRNA from 1 species